AAUCAACGCUGGCGGCGUGCCUAACACAUGCAAGUCGGACGUGAAAGGGGUUUCGGCCCUGAGUAGCGUGGCGGACGGGUGAGGAACGCGUGGGUGACCUGCCCUGCAGAGGGGGAUAACCCUCCGAAAGGGGGGCUAAUACCGCAUGAGCCCGAGAGGGGAAAGACGGUGAGUCGCUGCGGGAGGGGCCUGCGUCCGAUUAGCUGGUUGGUGGGGUAAGAGCCCACCAAGGCGACGACGGGUAGCCGGCCUGAGAGGGUGACCGGCCACACUGGAACUGAGACACGGUCCAGACUCCUACGGGGGCAGCAGUGGGGGAUAUUGCACAAUGGGCGAAAGCCUGAUGCAGCGACGCCGCGUGAGGGAAGACGGUUUUCGGAUUGUAAACCUCUGUCUUCGGGGACGAAACAAGACGGUACCCGAGGAGGAAGCCACGGCUAACUACGUGCCAGCAGCCGCGGUAAGAUCACGUGUA
rnacentral:rRNA from 1 species